CGUUAGAGCAUUGAGAGGACCUUUCCCUAGUUUGAGAGGACGGGGAAGGACGCACCUCUAGUGUACCACGUAUCGUGCCUAUGGUAAACGCUCAGUAGCCAAGUGUGGAGAGGACAACUGUACUAAGUAUCGUGCCUACGGUAAACGCUCGGUAGCCAAGUGUGGAGAGGACAACUGCUGAAAGCAUAUAAGUAGUAAGCCCACCCCAAGAUGACUGCUCUCUCCUCUGAAUUCCCUAGAGCCUCCACUAGCACAGUCGAGACAGCGACGGGUUCUCUACCCAUAUGGGGAUGGAGCGACAAAAGUAUGGAAGUAGGACAAGGUAACAGCGAGACGAGCUGUUUAAAUAUGUGUCAAGUGAAAAUACAGUGAUGAAUGUAGCUGAGGCAUCCUAACGAACGAA
rnacentral:ncRNA from 1 species